rnacentral:ncRNA from 1 species
UAGUUGUAUGAAAAGAGAGGUCAGCACACCUCUUGUUAAAGAUGAAAGAGGUCCUAGUGACCUUGAAAACAUGCACAUGGUUAAAGGAUUGCCAAUUACUUACUUGGUGGCAUCUAACUAAGCACAGCUUUUG